rnacentral:rRNA from 1 species
AGCGAACGCUGGCGGCAGGCCUAACACAUGCAAGUCGAGCGCCCCGCAAGGGGAGCGGCAGACGGGAGAGUAACACGUGGGAACGUACCCUUCAGUUCGGAACAACCCAGGGAAACUUGGGCUAAUACCGGAUACGUCCGAAAGGAGAAAGAUUUAUCGCUGAGGGAUCGGCCCGCGUCUGAUUAGCUAGUUGGUGGGGUAACGGCCCACCAAGGCGACGAUCAGUAGCUGGUCUGAGAGGAUGAUCAGCCUCACUGGGACUGAGACACGGCCCAGACUCCUACUGGAGGCAGCAGUGGGGAAUAUUGGACAAUGGGCGCAAGCCUGAUCCAGCCAUGCCGCGUGGGUGAUGAAGGCCCUAGGGUUGUAAAGCCCUUUCGGCGGGGAAGAUAAUGACGGUACCCGCAGAAGAAGCCCCGGCUAACUUCGUGCCAGCCGCCGCGGUAAGAC